CGGGGUUUUUAGAAACCGGCAACGGAACCUUUCUUCUGAAGAAGUUUGUCCAAACUUGGUCCAUUUAGAGGAAGUAAAAGUCGUAACAAGGUUUCCCGUAGGUGAACCUGCGGAAGGAUCAUUA
rnacentral:rRNA from 1 species